rnacentral:lncRNA from 1 species
ACUUACAGUCAAUCCUGUCUAGCUUCUCUCAAACAGUUCUAUUCCUAAUAACAGGUGGAUCUGGAAAUAGUCUCUUUGCCCAAAAACUGUGUGGACCUUAGGGCUCUGCAUGAGCAUCAAGCUAUGACAUCCAAGGCUACCAGUGUAGUGCAGCCCUAUGACAAAGCUUCACACAAGAAAAUUCAGGGGCCCAACUGGGUCAAUAAUGAGCAGGAGUCAAAGCAGAAAAUGCAAGAGGAAAGAUCACAGAUCUUUGGGACUUGGAAUCUGGGUGAAAGUUCCAUCUGUGU